CCUGGACUGUGAUUGGUGCAAUAUGGUUUGUUUUCGUAUAUUGAUAUCCGAUCAUCAGCAGCACGAUUGUCAAAGCUGUAAUGCACAGGAUUUUUAUGGCGGAGGAAAGCCGGAUUACCCGGAGAAAAACUACCGACCUGCGGAAAGUACUUGGCGACUGUCCCACGUAGGCCUCGAAACCGCGACCUAGUGGUGGAGGGCUAGUGGUAGCAGAAUAUCAGACGCCUUAACCACCUGGCUACCGCGGCCCCUAAAUACAACAGGUCCAUGGUUCAAAUAAUCACACUCUACGAAACAGAAUGGAGUUAGCAUGUGACAAGAAUGGGAAAAUGCAACAUUCAGAUGGAUAUUCGAUCCUCCGACCUCCGAACCAGCUGUUUUUUUUUAUAUUCCCCUUCCCCUUCACUUUUUCUCCAACUCAUUAGUCACGUAAACAGAUUUACCAUUUCCUCUGCUUACAAUUAUCUGGGCGUCAAAUAUAACAGGGACAGGAAAUACAAGGUCCUAUUGAAUUCGGACUCAUGUAUACUUAACUAUCUGAUCACACCAAAUCGACCAAUUUCAGUCUCGUUAUGAUUGUGGUUACGUACUAGGAAAACACUUCCUUCAAAACUAUGACCAAAUGUAUUAUACAGAUUAUUUUUGUGUAGACGCAGCAGCACAAUCCACUUGGAAUUACAUGACCAAAGGCUGCUAAAAGUAUCAAUUACCAGCACAGAACACGUACAUGUACUAAACUCAAAGUUAUUUGGAAAAAAAAGAAUCAUUUAAAAAUAGUCCAAUAUUCUUCAAAAGCUUGACAGCUAAUAGAAUAACAAAAAUAAAUCACAUAUAGAAUAUAACUCACACAAAGACUUUAUUUCCUCAGAAAGAGUUAUUACUCAAGGUUUCAAAAGUUGAAACAAUUGGGUUGCUCGGAAAUUUUGAAAAUCAAACGAGUACUUUAACUAGAAUAAAAAACAUACCACAAAACUAUGUUUGAAUCACUAAUGAAAACAUCAAAAUCUCAGAUGAUAUAUUCUUAUAUUCUUCACUUGCAAUAAAAUAUAUUUAAGCACUAAAUAAAUACUUCAACAAAAUAUCAAAAUAUUAUAUCGAAGAGGCAAAGAGAUUAUAGACUUUAAAAGGGUAAUAAUGAAAAGCACACGUUGGAUUGGCAUUCAAACUGACACUCAAUAAACAUUAUCAAUGAUAGGAAAAGUAAAGACUACCAAUGCAGCUGUUUAAAUACAAUUUUAACAGCUGAACACAAACUUCAGCAAAUGGAGACUAAUGAAUUAUGUAACUACUGUAAAAACUUUCAGAACACAAAAUAACACAUAUCUAUUUAACCUACAUGUAUUUUAUUUUUUUAAUCUAAAUGGCUUAUAUGGAAGGCAAGAAAUUAACAGAAGUCUUUAAAAACAAAGAACAAAAUCCUGGAGCAUUAUAUAAAAAAAUACUUAGUCAACUGAAAAACAUGGCAAACAUUAUGUUAAGGCAAAGAAAGACAAAGGAUUUUAUUUACUGGUUUUGUUUUUGUUAUUACAUUAAGCAAACAUUUCCUUUUGAUGUUUAAUGUAAGACUUUGUAAACAAUUUUGAAGAUAUUGGUGUGGAGAACAUAAAUAUGCAUUUGAUUGUUAAUGAAUUUUUAUAUUAUGGAUUAAAGGAGGGAUACCAGGGCUCCACAACUCUUGCUUCCUUCCAAAAAUGUGUUAAACAAAUAAAAUUAUAAAAGAGAUAAAAAAAAAAUGGUGGAUACUUACAUAUACGAAACAAACAAGAGUACUGUACUGGCCUUAAUUUUGUAAGGUAAGUAUUUCAUCGGAAAAAAUUGUUUCGGAAUUAAGGAAAAUUCCCUUUCCUGUAGCUGUACUUUCUAAUAAGAAAAUGUAAAUGAAGGAAUUUUCUUAAAUUGAACGAAGCAUAGGUAUACAAACGCCAUGAUGAAAUUUCUAUUGACGCUAUCCUUCCCUAUAUAUACAUACCAUUUCUGAAGAUUUCUUCUAAAACAUAAGAACACUGUCAGUAUGUGUAGAUCUCUUCAACACAACCGUGCUAUAUGAUAUAAUGAUCGGUACAGUAAAAUCCACCGCUGAUUACUGAUAUAAUGACAAAUAAGUAAUCACGUCCGACUAGAAAUAAUGUAGAUUGUCUUUCGUGCUGUAUGUAACAGUGCGACACGAUAAUGGAAAAGUUCUCAAUAACACAUCAUCUGCUGUAUAUCGAUGUGAAUAAAGAUGUUGAUAGUUUCACAACAACUAAAAUACAUGCAGGUGUGUCCCAAGUUAGAGUGAUAAGCGCAUAUGCAAGAUUAUAGGUGUGUUUGUCCUAUCAAUAACGGCGUGGUUAAAGGUUAUCGAAAAAAACUGAAAGCUCAUUUUUGGUAGUAAAUUCAUCAAUAUUGCCGUUCAAUAAAAACGAUAUAGCACACGUACAAUAAACGUG
rnacentral:lncRNA from 1 species